rnacentral:rRNA from 1 species
UCGGGAAUUUUGGGCAAUGGGCGAAAGCCUGACCCAGCAACGCCGCGUGAAGGAUGAAGUAUUUCGGUAUGUAAACUUCGAAAGAAUAGGAAGAAUAAAUGACGGUACUAUUUAUAAGGUCCGGCUAACUACGUGCCAGCAGCCGCGGUAAUACGUAGGGACCAAGCGUUGUUCGGAUUUACUGGGCGUAAAGGGCGCGUAGGCGGCAAUUCAAGUCAUCUGUGAAAUCUCCGGGCUUAACUCGGAACGGUCAGAUGAUACUGCUUUGCUAGAGUGCAGAAGGGGCAAUCGGAAUUCUUGGUGUAGCGGUGAAAUGCGUAGAUAUCAAGAGGAACACCUGAGGUGAAGACGGGUUGCUGGGCUGACACUGACGCUGAGGCGCGAAAGCCAGGGGAGCAAACGGGAUUAGAUACCCCUAGUAGUCCCUGAGCGGGCUGGCAAGGCGCAU